GCCCAUGUAGCUCAGUCGGCAGAGCACUUCCUUGGUAAGGAAGAGGUCACCGGUUCAAAUCCGGUCAUGGGCUCCA
rnacentral:tRNA from 2 species